UUUUGGCAAAGGCCUGCAAAAUCUGAAAGCUUUUCUUUUUGUUUAAAGCAAGAUAUAAAAAAAAGGUAUUUUGUUCGCCUUUUUCCACUUCCGUUCUAUUCUGAUAUAUUCUUCUCAUCCCCAUUCUCAAAGACUCUCUUCGCUCCAGCCGUCACACAUUCUCUAUUGAGUACUCUCUGAUAUUGAUUAGCUUUAAGUUUGCUCCUGGAUUGUUUCUCUUCCGAUUGUCUCUACCAUCUCUCCUAUCAUCUUCGACAACUUUGAUUAUCUACCAUUUUCUGUCUUCUCUGGCAUCAUUAGCUAUCCGGGAUGACAUUUUUUGACAUUGUGUUUGAAAUGAACAAACUGCAGCAAGUGAUGAAGAUUUAAGUAAAUUUAAGAAACUGCAGGACAUAUCCUCAUGAUUCAAGGAGAUGACAUCAAGCUUUGGUAUGUAUUGACAUCCUCAUAUUUCUUAAACGAUUAUAUUGAGAAUGUAGCGGUGACAAAUAUACACAUAUAAUAUAUAUAUAUGUGUUUUUUUCCUUCCUUUGCAAGUUCCAUGUUGAUUAGUGGGUGAUGGCUAAAUUUUUUCCAGUAUAUGUUUAUUUUUUCUAUAUUAUAUUAGACCAACCAUUCGCUUGUUCUUG